GACGAACGCUGGCGGCGUGCCUAAUACAUGCAAGUCGAACGCAGUGGGGACGGGUGAGUAACACGUGGGUAACCUCCCAUCAGAGGGGAUAACACUUGGAAACAGGUGCUAAACCGAUACUGAUGGAUGGACCCGCGGUGCAUUAGCUAGUUGGUGAGGUAACGGCUCACCAAGGCCACGAUGCAUAGCCGACCUGAGAGGGUGAUCGGCCACACGGGGACGGAGACACGGCCCAGACUCCUACGGGAGGCAGCAGUGGGGAAUAUUCGGCAAUGGACGAAAGUCUGACCGAGCAACGCCGCGUGAGUGAAGAAGGUUUUCGGAUCGUAAAGCUCUUUUGGUAGGGAGGCGGUAUCUAACCAGUAAGCCACGGCUAACUACGUGCCAGCCGCCGCGGUAAUAC
rnacentral:rRNA from 1 species